AUGGUUUUGACAUCGACCAUUUGCCUCAUUUUCAUUUUAAGCGAUGGGCAGAGUCUUACUGCCUUUCUUCUCUGUUCUCCGAGUGCCGCACCCACUGUGAGCCGGCUCAUCAGCCUGAAAGGUAAAGAGCGAAGCCGCGACCAUGCUCGCUGCCGGCUGCCGGGGGUCGGCGUGGCGGGGAGCGUCGGGUGGGAACGUGCUGCGACCACCAUCCCCCUCUCCUCUCCCUCCGCAGAUGUGCGCCCGCGGUAUGUCAUGGAUGUGGCGGCCAAGGACGGGCAGCUGCUCUGCUCCGUGGUGCCGACCCUCGCCACGCAGAGAGUGAGACACCGCUACUGCAGCUCCGGUGAAGGAGAACAACUCAUCCUCAGUUCUCCCAGUCCUUGCAGUGAGAAGACCAUGGCUGCAAAGAGGCAUGGACAUGUUCCAUCUGUCGCGAUGUGCGACAGGACAUGGCCCGUGUGAUUCCAUGUAAUCACACAUUCUGCCUGGGCUGCAUCCAUCG
rnacentral:lncRNA from 1 species